rnacentral:tRNA from 1 species
GGCACGAGUGGCGGACGGUGACGCCCUCGCUCGCAAGGCGGAGAUACCGGUUCGAUUCCGGUUCGUGUCA